UACGGAGGGUGCGAGCGUUGUCCGGAAUUACUGGGCGUAAAGGGCGCGUAGGCGGCUUGGUAAGUCGGGGGGUGAAAGUCAGCGGCUCAACCGCUGGACUGCCUUCGAGACUGCCUGGCUUGAGCAUGGUAGAGGCUGGCGGAAUUCCCGGUGUAGCGGUGGAAUGCGUAGAGAUCGGGAAGAACAUCGGUGGCGAAGGCGGCCAGCUGGGCCAUUGCUGACGCUGAUGCGCGACAGCGUGGG
rnacentral:rRNA from 1 species